rnacentral:rRNA from 1 species
AUGGCUCAGAUUGAACGCUGGCGGCAUGCCUUACACAUGCAAGUCGAACGGCAGCACGGGGCAACCGUGGUGGCGAGUGGCGAACGGGUGAGUAAUGCAUCGGAACGUGCCAUUGAGUGGGGGAUAACGUAGCGAAAGUUGCGCUAAUACCGCAUAUUCUGUGAGCAGGAAAGCAGGGGACCGCAAGGCCUUGCGCUCUUUGAGCGGCCGAUGUCAGAUUAGCUAGUUGGUGAGGUAACGGCUUACCAAGGCGACGAUCUGUAGCGGGUCUGAGAGGAUGAUCCGCCACACUGGAACUGAGACACGGUCCAGACUCCUACGGGAGGCAGCAGUGGGGAAUUUUGGACAAUGGGCGCAAGCCUGAUCCAGCCAUGCCGCGUGAGUGAAAAGGCCUUCGGGUUGUAAAGCUCUUUCGGCCGGGAAGAAAUCGCAUGGGUUAAUACCCUGUGUGGAUGACGGUACCGGAAUAAGAAGCACCGGCUAACUACGUG